GACGAACGCUGGCGGCGUGCCUAAUACAUGCAAGUCGAACGCAGUGGGGACGGGUGAGUAACACGUGGGUAACCUCCCAUCAGAGGGGAUAACACUUGGAAACAGGCGUUAAACCGAUAGGGAUGGAUGGAACCGCGGGGCAUUACCUAGUUGGUGAGGUAACGGCUCACCAAGGCCACGAUGCAUAGCCGACCUGAGAGGGUGAUCGGCCACACUGGAACUGAGACACGGCCCAGACUCCUACGGGAGGCAGCAGUAGGGAAUCUUCGGCAAUGGACGAAAGUCUGACCGAGCAACGCCGCGUGAGUGAAGAAGGUUUUCGGAUCGUAAAACUCUUUUGUUAGGGAAGCGUUAUCUGACCAGAAAGCCACGGCUAACUCCGUGCCAGCAGCCGCGGUAAUUC
rnacentral:rRNA from 1 species